ACUGAAUAGAUACCCCGGUAGUCCACGCCGUAAACGAUGAGUGCUAGGUGUCACGGGCUUUGACCCUCGUGGUGCCGAAAGCUAAACGCGUUAAGCACUCCGCCUGGGGAGUACGGCCGCAAGGCUAAAACUCAAAGGAAUUGACGGGGGCCCGGCACAAGCGGUGGAGCAUGUUGUUUAAAAUUCGACGCAACGCGAAGAACCUUACCUGGGCUAGAAAACGCAAGAACCCGGACGAAAGUUCGGGUGCCUUCGGGGUAACUUGUGGUUAGGUGCUGCAUGGCUGUCGUCAGCUCGUGUCGUGAGAUGUUGGGUUAAAGUCCCGCAACGAGCGCAACCCCUGUCGUUAGUUUGCCAUCAUUCAGUUGGGAACUCUAACGAGACUGCCGACCUUUAAGUCGGAGGAAGGCGGGGAUGACGUCAAGUCAUCAUGGCCCUUACGUCCAGGGCUACAAACGUGCUACAAUGGUCAGUACAAAGGGCUGCGAACCCCGGCGAGGGGGUAGCCAAUCCCAAAAACGCUGGCCUCAGUACGGAUAAAGAGUCUGCAACUCGACUCUUUGAAAGUUGGAAUCGC
rnacentral:rRNA from 1 species